rnacentral:rRNA from 1 species
UACGGAAGGCAGCAGUGGGGAAUUUUGGACAAUGGGCGCAAGCCUGAUCCAGCAAUGCCGCGUGAGUGAAGAAGGCCUUCGGGUUGUAAAGCUCUUUUGUCAGGGAAGAAACGGGUGAGGCUAAUAUCCUUGCCUAAUGACGGUACCUGAAGAAUAAGCACCGGCUAACUACGUGCCAGCAGCCGCGGUAAUACGUAGGGUGCAAGCGUUAAUCGGAAUUACUGGGCGUAAAGCGUGCGCAGGCGGUUGUGCAAGACAGAUGUGAAAUCCCCGGGCUUAACCUGGGAAUUGCAUUUUGUGACUGCACGGCUAGAGUGUGUCAGAGGGGGUAGAAUUCCACGUGUAGCAGUGAAAUGCGUAGAUAUGUGGAGGAAUACCGAUGGCGAAGGGCAGCCCCUGGGGAUAACACUGACGCUCAUGCACGAAAGCGUGGGGAGCAAAC